rnacentral:rRNA from 1 species
GACGAACGCUGGCGGCGUGGAUUAGGCAUGCAAGUCGAACGGUAGUAUACUUUCGGGUAUAUGAGAGUGGCGAACGGGUGAGGAACGCGUAGGUGAUCUACCUUCAAGUGGGGACAACCCAGGGAACUUGGCUAAUACCGCAUGUGGCUGUAAAGCUAAAGCCGGCCUCUGAAUAUGCUGGUGCUUGGAGAUGAGCCUGCGUCUGAUUAGCUAGACGGUGGGGUAAUGGCCUACCGUGGCGAUGAUAAGUAGGCGGCUUUAACGAGUGGUCGCCCACACUGGGAUUGAGAUACGGCCCAGACUCCUACGGGAGGCAG